rnacentral:rRNA from 1 species
AUUGAACGCUGGCGGCAGGCCUAACACAUGCAAGUCGAGCGGAGCGGCGGACGGGUGAGUAAUGCGUAGGAAUCUGCCUGGUAGUGGGGGAGAACGUCCGGAAACGGGCGCUAAUACCGCAUACUAGCAGAUGAGACUAGGUCGGAUUAGAUAGUUGGUGGGGUAAAGGCCUACCAAGGCGACGAUCCGUAACUGGUCUGAGAGGAGGAUCAGUCCCACUGGAACUGAGACACGGUCCAGACUCCUACGGGAGGCAGCAGUGGGGAAUAUUGGACAAUGGGCGAAAGCCUGAUCCAGCCAGGCCGCGUGUGUGAAGAAGGUCUUCGGAUUGUAAAGCACUGUAAGUUGGGAGGCGUUACCAACAGAAUAAGCACCGGCUAACUUCGUGCCAGCCGCCGCGGUAAUUC